GUAGGUGGCAAGCGUUGUCCGGAAUUAUUGGGCGUAAAGCGCGCGCAGGCGGUUCUUUAAGUCUGAUGUGAAAGCCCACGGCUCAACCGUGGAGGGUCAUUGGAAACUGGAGAACUUGAGUACAGAAGAGGAAAGCGGAAUUCCACGUGUAGCGGUGAAAUGCGUAGAGAUGUGGAGGAACACCAGUGACGAAGGCGGCUUUCUGGUCUGUAACUGACGCUGAGGCGCGAAAGCGUGGGGAGCAAACAGGAUUAGAUACCCUGGUAGUCCACGCCGUAAACGAUGAGUGAUAAGUGUUAGGGGGUUUCCGCCCCCCUUAGUGCUGCAGCUAACGCAUUAAGCACUCCGCCUGGGAGUACGGCCGCAAGGCUG
rnacentral:rRNA from 1 species